AGGCGCUGGGGUGCAGGAGAGGAGAUAGGAGGGCCUCGGCCCUCCCUCUGGGGCUGUCCUCAGAGCGAGGAGCCAGCAAGGAGGGGGAAAGAGGAAGAGUGAGUAAUGUGCUUCUGAUCUCAGAGGAAAAAGACACCUGUGAUGAAGCUGGGGACCCCUGGCCCACCCUGGGCUCUUCUGGGGUGUCCCCCUGCCAGAAGAAGAGUCUCCAUCCCUCUGCCAAGCCCCCAACCUCUUCCUACACCCCAACACCCCAUCUCUGGAACUUGUGCAUACAACAGGAAUUCUCCUGUCUCCCACCCACUUGGGACCAUCAUUCAACUGUCGUGGGUCAAAAUCUCAUAUAUACUCUUAGACUGUGGUCAGGUGCCUGGGCCAACCCCUCCAUCAUUCACAAAAUGAUCCCUUAAAGUUCUUAAAUCUCAUGAAAUAAACAUGAAACGAAACACAUGAAA